rnacentral:rRNA from 1 species
AAGUCCACGCCGUAAACGAUGUCAACUAGCCGUUGGGGGGUUACCCUUUAGUGGCGCAGCUAACGCGAUAAGUUGACCGCCUGGGGAGUACGGUCGCAAGAUUAAAACUCAAAGGAAUUGACGGGGGCCCGCACAAGCGGUGGAGCAUGUGGUUUAAUUCGAUGCAACGCGAAGAACCUUACCUACCCUUGACAUUGACAGAACCUUGUAGAGAUACGAGGGUGCCUUCGGGCCUGGAAAACAGGUGCUGCAUGGCUGUCGACAGCUCGUGUCGUGAGAUGUUCGGUUAAGUCCGGCAACGAGCGCAACCCACAUCUUUAGUUGCCAGCAGUUCGGCUGGGCACUCUAAAGAAACUGCCCGUGAUAAGCGGGAGGAAGGUGUGGAUGACGUCAAGUCCUCAUGGCCCUUACGGGUUGGGCUACACACGUGCUACAAUGGCCGUGACAAAGAGUUGCUACUUUGUGAAGAUAAGUUAAUCUAUAAACUCGUUCUAAGUUCGGAUUGUAGGCUGCAACUCG